rnacentral:rRNA from 1 species
GAAACUGCGAAUGGCUCAUUAAAUCAGUUAUGGUUUAUUUGAUGGUACCUACUACUUGGAUAACCGUAGUAAUUCUAGAGCUAAUACAUGCAGGCAGUCCCGACUCCGGAAGGGAUGUAUUUAUUAGAUAAGAAACCAACUCGCUUUGCGGUUGAGUGCUGAGUCAUACUAACUUUUCGAAUCGCAUGGCUUUAUGCCGGCGAUGGUUCAUUCAAAUUUCUGCCCUAUCAGCUUUCGAUGGUAGGAUAGAGGCCUACCAUGGCGUUAACGGG